GGGGCCAGAUGAGCUCCUGAAGGAGACCUUCCUGGGUGGGGAGGAUGGGAGAUGGGUUUGCCCCCUGGUCCCUGGGGCUGCAUAUAGUUGGGAGCAGCAAGGGUUUGAGGAUGAGAUCGGAUAGAAGGGCAGUACACAGAAGAGGCAGGAUCCUGGAGACCCCAGCACCUUGCACAGCUGCCCGUACUCUGUUCAGGUUCUCAGAGGAACCUGUCUUGGAGGCUGAGAGACAGUAAGGGAAUCCCUUAGGGCAUAAGCUGGCAGAUGGGGGUCACAGGAACCUGAAGUGGGGUUCUCUGAGCUGCCGGGAUGUGAUGUGAAGAGUGCAGAACAGUCCUCUCCCUGUGGGCUGGUCUCCAUCCCCCUGGGCUUGAAGUUCCCAGGCUGAGAGUCAGUGGGGGUUGUAUGUCAGAUGCUAAUCUCAGCUCCAGAAUGCCCCCGGCUCUCCUGCUGCUCUCCAGGAACGCAGGUAAAUUUAUCAGAUGGACCAUGUGGUACCUGGUGUCCUGGGGAUCAGGACAGGUGUGUCAACAGGGUACACGUGAGGUAGGAAGGAACAUGAGAUUCCCACGCUCAAGAGAGCAAAGGAACUAAAACCCGACUUUCUGCUUCGCAGUUUACCCAGUACCUGCUUUUUCCUUAUGUGUCCUUGAUGUAGGAUUCUGUGUGUGGCUCCUCCAAGAUUAAGGUCAAGGACAACUGGGCAGGUACUUGGAUACAGCUUCUUGAGUAAGAUCUAAUUUCCUGAUUACAGUCUCCAGCAGGGAGACUGUAUCACACUCCUAUCACCAGUGAUACUGUUGGACUUUCCCUUACCCAGUGGGUUACCUGAGAGAAGGCCACAUUUAGGAUCAUCCAAGGGCAAGUGCAAUGGGAGGGAAACUACCUUAGAGUCAGCCGGACUAGGGAUCUGCCACAUUUGGCUGUGUGCGGUUGAAGAUAGCCAUGUAAAUGCACAGAAUGUAAUUCUAUGCAAUGCAUGCUGGUCCCUUCUUGCAGCUUUUCCCUGGGUCCCUGCCACCCCUAUCUUUCGACAAUAAGAGGGUAAUCUUGCCCCAAUAUCUGGGGCUGGGUGGUUGGAGGGAAGUGAUAUUCUUGUCAGGUCAAUUGCAUUCAUGUUAAAAGAACCCAAGGAAGACCCAGACCCUUCAGUCUCUCCAAAAUGGAAAGAACCAGGAAGACUUGGACUUAGCUUAAAACAUCAGAGCAAUAAUAUACAAUGGGAUCUAUCUAGUCUGGGUCAUUUGAGACAUAAAAGCCAGAGCUGGACAGGCUUUUUAAAGCAAAGAUUGAACCCAAGGAUGUGGAAAGACAACCUCAUUGAGAGGGUGAGGCGGGUCCUUUCUCACCUCACUGGAUGGAGUGGGUCCUGCUACCUUCUCUGUUCCCACUGCCCCACUUUCCACCAACCCCCAAUUCCACAUGGAAGAGAGGAAAAAGGGCAGAGGCGCCCCACAGCAGAGCCCCUCUCAAGGCUGUAUAGAAAACAUCUGCGGGCAAUAAAUUCAUGGGGAAAUGUGACCUCCAGAGAGCUGGGCUCCCUGGGAGGCAUCAGCCGCACUCUUAAUCGUGCAUUUUAUUGUUUCUAACAUGGCGCAGCAAGUCACUUGUGUGACAGUACAUUAGAGGCAACAGAGCAAGUUAGAAUAAAUAGACUCUGUCCCCUCACAGGGCCUCCUCUACAGAAACCAGGACAUAAGUGCCUUCUAAAGGCCAGAGGGGUAAAGAGUUCAUGAAACGGACUUGAGGGUUUCAAGAGUUCCCAGGAUGCCUUCAGCCCAACCCAGCUUAAACAGUAAGAUGUACAGGCCCAGGAGUUGAAAAUUCAAAUGCUUCCAAUUACAAUCUAGUAACACACGUAAGGGACCAGCUUAAGAUUAGCUGUGACUCCUCCUGCCCUACUCCCGAGCCAUGUCAAAGGCGAUUUUAGGCUUUAAUGUGAGAGUGCCCUCUUCUGGAGGAGGCAGUGGGGAGUAGUUGAAAGCCCACUGGACUUAGCACCCAAAGGUGCCCUUGAGAUCUGUUGCUCCUCAACUGUUGCCGGGGUGAAACCUUGGAUAAGUGACUUGACUGCUGUGCAUUCUGAUUGCCUCAGCCAUCUGUCAGUUGGGAAUCAUAACCUCCAAGCACCCACAAGAGGCGAUACCCUGCUGCAGGACUCAGAUAGGACUAGGUACCUAAGUCCUGAAGGUGGUGUGUAGGUAAGUGUGAGAGGUAAUUGGUUCCCCCUUAAGGAUUUCAGAUCAGGUAGGAAAAGGAAGUGGGGAGAGGCAGUUGUGUCCUUAUCUGCAGAAAUUAGCCAGCAUGUAUUAUACUUUAGGAGUUAACAGUCUUGUGGGUUAGACACUUGUAUCCUCCUUUUAAUAAAUGGGAAGUCAAAGUUCAGUAAAGUGGGAAUUCCAUGUGGUCAUAUAGCCAGGGAGUACCAGCCCUUAGACUUAAACACAUGUUUUCUAACGCCAUAGCUCACCCUUUCUAUCAGACCAAGUUGGCUUGGACUGGUGUCUCGGAAUCAUCUGGCCAGCAUUCCAGAGCUCAGUGGUUCUUCCCAAGAACCAUGCCAAGGAGACGACAGUGACAAACAAGGUUAGGGCCCCAGUUUCCUCUUAUCCAUCCACAGCCUUGUGGACCUAUGUGGGAGAACCUGUCAUUCACUUUGUCCGUCUGUCUGUCCAUCCAUCCAUUCAUCAGUCCAUGUGUCUGUCCCUCCUUCCAGGAGACCUCAGGUUGAUAGAAAAAUAAAAUUUAGAGUCAGAAGGAGUGGGUUUCAGUCCCUAAGGCAGAAUUUCUUUCACCUGCAUCAGAAACUUCUGUUAAAUGUGUGGAUUCCAAGCCCUACUGAGUGAAAUUCUCUGGGGCUACAGCCCACUAAGCUGUAUUUUUAGCAAGCUCCCUGAAUGACACAUAGGUUUGAGAAUUUCUGCUCUACAGCAUUAUCUUAACUUCCAGUAUAUUCCAAGCUGCUCAAAAAAUAGGAAAUCAAACAUUACUCUGGUUUAGGGUGUCGGGGGCUACCUUAUGGGCUGUGUCCUAGAGGUCAGGUGAUCUCUGACUCCCUGUGAAGUGGGGCUCUCUGCUGUGCCCUCUUCUUUCAUCUCUUUUGUCCCCAGUCACAUCUUUUCCACUCAGCAAAGGAACAACUCUCCCUGAUUUAAGGCACUCAGAAUUGCUCCUGUCCUGGGUUCCUCUUCUUUCCCUCCUUACACUGAAAGCUGACACAUUUCUGGAAUCCUAGAGCAGGAAGGAGCCUUGGAGACACAAACCUGACUCUUCUGACAGCAGAGUCUCUUCUGGCUCUUCCUGCCACAUAAAGCUUUCUUCCAUACAGCGGGAGUUUAAUAAGUGCUUGAAUAAUGAGUCAGUCACUGAAUGUUUCUCCUAAGCUAUUCUUGGCCCAAAAGAUUUGCCUAGGACAACCUCCUCAUGGACACUGGAAAACCAGACAUUGCUAAUGAGCAUUAUAAUAAUUCUUAUUGGUUAUAACAGUAACUACUGCUAUCAGCAUUUAUUGAGCACCUAUGUGCCAGGCGCUACAUUAGGUACUUUACAUACAUUUUCCCCAAAAUAAUCUGGGACAAUCUGUGUUACUCUUUUCAUUGGUCAAAUGAAGAAAUUGAGGCUCAGAAAGUGAGCUGAUUUGUUCAAGGUCAUAGCUCGGAAGUGGCAGAGCCAGGAUUUAAAGCCAUAUCUGUUAGUCUCAGAAGCUCAUAUUCUUUGCAAUAUUCCCUCUUUAUGGCUUAAUAAAUGUUAAUCUGGCAGAUCUCCCAGGAAUUGUGUGAACAGCUUGGCUGUCCCUCACACUGAGGCUGCCUGGUCUUAGAAAGUCCACAUGGGACCAUCGGAAACAGUGACAAGGACCGUGACCAAAGAGGAACAGCUAAGAGUACAGCUGCCAUCAUUUCACUGUGACUGUGUGGCUCUCAUAUCAAAAGGGGGCUAGGCUGGAGUCCAUAGACCAUUGGAGUUACUCGAAAAUAUGCAUACACUGGAAAGAAGUGAAAUGUUCUAUUUAUCUAGCACCUGAUAGGUAAUAGGACACGUCCAUGUACAUGCUCUAAUCAUCCUCAUAAGAGAUUGGAGGAGGGCAUUAGAAUUGUUUUUUUCCAUCGUUUGGAUGAGGAUGCUGCUGCAGCUCAGAUAUAAGUAAAUUUUCCAAGGUAAUGCAGUUAGUGGCUGAGCCAGGAUGCAAACCUCAUUCUCCUGACAUCAACUCCACCACUAUAUCUAUUAGAGCAGUGUUUCUCAAAAAUUUAAAGUGUAAAUGGAUCACCUGGACAUCUUGUUAAAAUGCAUGUUCUGAUCCAGUAGAUUUGGAGUGGGGCCUGGGAUUUUCCAUUUUUAAUGAUCUUUCAGAAGAUGCCCAUGCUGCUGGGAAUGGGGUCUCCAUGGCCUCAGGAUAUAUCCCUUCCACAGUCCCAUGCCUCAGAAGAACCAGAUGUGUGCAUCUGUAUGAGGGAGGGAUUAUGUGGUCUUCUCGGCAGCUGAUGAAGGGCUCAGAUGCACCAGGACUCCAGUUUCUGGGUGAUAGGUAAGCAUUUGCACCAUCCUGUUCUCCACUACCCUACCAGCAAAAAUACGUAUGUGAAAUUGCAAAUUCUGAAGCGCGCUGUGUGUGUCCAUUGAUUAUCAUUUUUAGUGAGCAGCAUCAACAUUAAUGUGGCCAAUGGCUGUAGGAUCCUGCUCCUGGCAUGUGAGUCAUCCACAGUGAGGAUGGGUCUCUAGGGGAUGGCUGAUUCUUGGAAACUGUUGUUACUGUUUAGGACCCAUUAUGACUUGUUCCUUCCCCCUGCAAAAGAGCAAAGCGAGACCUGUUACUUAGUGUUGCUGGUUACCCAAGAUGACAAAGUAAACUUAUGGAAGACAGAGCCUAUUGAAGACAGGGUACAGGUAAUGUUCAAAGACUUACUAUCUGGUGGUCCCAGGAAUUGGCAAAUUAGAAGGAUACCAGAGGUAAACAACGGUACAGCCGUACUGGAGUGCACCAGCUAAAUAGCUGCCCUGCCUUUGGGUUCUGAGUCUUACAAAGUUCUAUGAAAAUUCCUGAGACUUAACAACAACACCCAAA
rnacentral:lncRNA from 1 species